rnacentral:rRNA from 1 species
AUUGAACGCUGGCGGCAGGCCUAACACAUGCAAGUCGAGCGCGCGGCGGACGGGGGAGAAAUGUAUGGGGACUGCCCGAUAGAGGGGGGGAACUACUGGAGAAGGUAGAUAAUAUAGCAUACGAUCGGAUAGCGCAUAUGGGAUUAGCUAGUAGGUGAGGUAAUGGCUCACCUAGGCGACGAUCCCUAGCUGGUCUGAGAGGAUGAUCAGCCACACUGGGACUGAGACACGGCCCAGACUCCUACGGAGGCAGCAGUGGGGAAUAUUGCACAAUGGGCGCAAGCCUGAUACAGCCAUGCCGCGUGUAUGAAGAAGGCCCUAGGGUUGUAAAGUACUUUCAGUCGGGAGGCGUUACCGGCAGAAGAAGCACCGGCUAACUCCGUGCCAGCAGCCGCGGUAAUUC